rnacentral:rRNA from 1 species
UACGUAGGCGACAAGCGUUGUCCGGAUUUACUGGGCGUAAAGAGCGUGUAGGCGGCCAGGUAGGUCGGUUGUGAAAACUGGAGGCUCAACCUUCAGAGGUCGACCGAAACCAUCUGGCUAGAGUCCGGGAGAGGAGAGUGGAAUUCCCGGUGUAGCGGUGAAAUGCGCAGAUAUCGGGAGGAACACCUAUGGCGAAGGCAGCUCGCUGGGACGUUACUGACGCUGAGACGCGAAAGCGUGGGGAGCAAACAGG